rnacentral:lncRNA from 1 species
AUUACUACAACACCAGUUGCAGGUACAGGUAAAGGUUACUUGACGCGAGCGCGUUGAUUGUUCACUUGGAGUUGCUUCUUCUUCUUCUUCUUCUUCAUCGAUCUAGGAUGGGUUCCAGGCCAACAGCCUGGGAUAGCAAGGAUGGACGUCGUUCUUCUUUUGUCGUUUGUUUUCGUCCGUAGUCGGACCCUGCUCUUACUCUUGAUGAUUAUGUAAUGUACUCAUGUGACUCUGAUGUAGCUUGUGGCGAGUGUAAGCC